rnacentral:tRNA from 1 species
GCUCCGGUAGUAUAGCCCGGUCAAGUAUGCGGGCCUCUCGAGCCCGCGGCGCGGGUUCAAAUCCCGCCCGGAGCACCA